UACGUAGGUUGCUAGCGUUGUCCGGAAUCAUUGGGCGUAAAGCGCGCGUAGGUGGCUUGUCAGGUCCGAUGUGAAAACCUGGGGCUCAACUCCAGGCCUGCAUUGGAAACCGACUUGCUAGAGUCUGGGAGAGGAGAGUGGAAUUCCUGGUGUAGCGGUGAAAUGCGUAGAUAUCAGGAGGAACACCGGUAGCGAAGGCGGCUCUCUGGAACAGUACUGACACUGAGGCGCGAAAGCUAGGGGAGCGAACAGG
rnacentral:rRNA from 1 species